rnacentral:rRNA from 1 species
UGAGGAAUAUUGGUCAAUGGGCGGCAGCCUGAACCAGCCAUCCCGCGUGAAGGAAGAAUGCGCUAUGCGUUGUAAACUUCUUUUUCAGGGGGAUAAAAUUUUGUAUGUAUACAGAACUGAAGGUACCCUGAGAAUAAGCAUCGGCUAACUCCGUGCCAGCAGCCGCGGUAAUACGGAGGAUGCGAGCGUUAUCCGGAUUUAUUGGGUUUAAAGGGUGCGUAGGCGGAAGAAUAAGUCAGUGGUGAAACCCUGCAGCUUAACUGUAGACUUGCCAUUGAUACUGUUUUUCUUGAGUAUGGUCAAGGCAGGCGGAAUGUGUAAUGUAGCGGCGAAAUGCUUAGAUAUUACACAGAACACCGAUAGCGAAGGCAGCUUGCUGGGCCGUUACUGACGCUGAUGCACGAAAGCGUGGGGAUCGAACAG